CUUGAUGGAGCCCAGCCAGAGCGGCUGGUCCUCGGUGUGGUUGCGCCCGUACGUGGCGAGCAGGGCCUGCGCCUC
rfam:Streptomyces violaceusniger Tu 4113, complete genome.